rnacentral:rRNA from 1 species
UGGCGGCGUGCUUAACACAUGCAAGUCGAACGAUGAAGCCCAGCUUGCUGGGUGGAUUAGUGGCGAACGGGUGAGUAACACGUGAGUAACCUGCCCCCGACUUUGGGAUAAGCCCGGGAAACUGGGUCUAAUACCGGAUAUGACUUCCUGCCGCAUGGUGGGUUGUUGAAAGAUUUAUCGGUGGGGGAUGGACUCGCGGCCUAUCAGCUUGUUGGUGAGGUAAUGGCUCACCAAGGCGACGACGGGUAGCCGGCCUGAGAGGGUGACCGGCCACACUGGGACUGAGACACGGCCCAGACUCCUACGGGAGGCAGCAGUGGGGAAUAUUGCACAAUGGGCGGAAGCCUGAUGCAGCGACGCCGCGUGAGGGAUGACGGCCUUCGGGUUGUAAACCUCUUUCAGUAGGGAAGAAGCGAAAGUGACGGUACCUGCAGAAGAAGCGCCGGCUAACUACGUGCCAGCAGCCGCGGUAAUACGUAGGGCGCAAGCGUUAUCCGGAUUUAUUGGGCGUAAAGAGCUCGUAGGCGGUUUGUCGCGUCUGCCGUGAAAGUCCGAGGCUCAACCUCGGACCUGCGGUGGGUACGGGCAGACUAGAGUGAUGUAGGGGAGACUGGAAUUCCUGGUGUAGCGGUGAAAUGCGCAGAUAUCAGGAGGAACACCGAUGGCGAAGGCAGGUCUCUGGGCAUUUUCUGACGCUGAGGAGCGAAAGCAUGGGGAGCGAACAGGAUUAGAUACCCUGGUAGUCCAUGCCGUAAACGUUGGGCACUAGGUGGUUGGACA